rnacentral:rRNA from 1 species
AUGGAUCAUGGACCUCUUCCAGAAUCAGCUUUUGUUACAAAUGCUAGAGAUAGCAUACCCCCUCCCAGGGUUGCCACAUCAAUGGCAACAGGCAGGGUUAGAAGAAGAGGGGUGACAGAAGACAUUCCUGAAGAUGUCCCUGAAGCAAGCUACCAGGCAGCUGAAAAUGCAAGAGGGAGAAAGAGGAGAGCAAUUGGAAGAGGCAGGGGAAAUGUCACAGGAGCAGGCAGAGCACCUGGGAGAGGAAAUGGGAGAGGGAUUGGGAUAGCUAGUGGGAGAGGGACUUGGAGUGGUCGUGCCAGAAGGACCGGGAGAGGUCAUACAGGAGGUAGGACAGGACCAGGAGCUGGGUUGUGGAACAUCAUGUUUCCACCAGAUGAAGCUAGAUCAUAUGUGCGAGCCGAGGAGGUCCCAGUGACACAAAAUGCACCACAAGAGGAGUGGCUUGAUGAUUUCCAGACCUUAUAG